AGAGAAAUAAUUUAAUUAAUUUCAAAAAAACUGAUUUGAUCUGUAUAAAAUACUAAUAUUGAAUUGUCUCGAAGAGAUUAAAGUAAAUAUUCUUUGAAAUGCUUACAAAAUUUACAAGAAAAAUAGGCACGCAAAUUGUUAUAAAAUUAUCAGGGGUGUGGAAGCAUCAAAACCAUGCUUUUAAAGGCACACCCAAGAAUAUAACAGCAAAA